GUAACACGUAUACAACCUACCUUUAAUUGAGGGAUAACCUGGAGAAAUUCGGACUAAUACCUCAUAGCAAGAUAUAUAGGCAUCUAAAUAUUUUUAAAGAUUUAUCGAUUAGAGAUGGGUAUGCGUAGGAUUAGCUAGUUGGUAAGGUAACGGCUUACCAAGGCGACGAUCCUUAGGGGUUCUGAGAGGAAGGUCCCCCACACUGGUACUGAGACACGGACCAGACUCCUACGGGAGGCAGCAGUGAGGAAUAUUGGUCAAUGGGCGAGAGCCUGAACCAGCCAAGUCGCGUGAAGGAAGACUGCCCUAUGGGUUGUAAACUUCUUUUGUACAGGGGUAAAGGACAUCACGAGUGGUGUUUUGCAAGUACUGUACGAAUAAGCAUCGGCUAACUCCGUGCCAGCAGCCGCGGUAAUACGGAGGAUGCAAGCGUUAUCCGGAUUUAUUGGGUUUAAAGGGUGCGUAGGCGGUAUUACAAGUCAGGGGUGAAAUCUUGGUGCUUAACAUUAAAGUUGCCUUUGAAACUGUGGUACUUGAGUGUAAGAGAGGUAGGCGGAAUGUGUUGUGUAGCGGUGAAAUGCUUAGAUAUAACACAGAACCCCGAUUGCGAAGGCAGCUUACUAUAAUACAACUGACGCUGAUGCACGAAAGCGUGGGGAUCAAACAGGAUUAGAUACCCUGGUAGUCCACGCAGUANACGAUGAUUACUAGCUGUUAGCGAUAUACUGUUAGUGGCUAAGCGAAAGCGAUAAGUAAUCCACCUGGGGAGUACGUUCGCCAGAAUGAAACUCAAAGGAAUUGACGGGGCCCG
rnacentral:rRNA from 1 species